GACGGAGGAUGCAAGCGUUAUCCGGAAUGAUUGGGCGUAAAGCGUCCGCAGGUGGCAGUUCAAGUCUGCUGUCAAAGACCGGGGCUUAACUUCGGAAAGGCAGUGGAAACUGAACAGCUAGAGUAUGGUAGGGGCAGAGGGAAUUCCUGGUGUAGCGGUGAAAUGCGUAGAGAUCAGGAAGAACAUCGGUGGCGAAGGCGCUCUGCUGGACCAGUUCUGACACUGAGGCGCGACAGCGUGGGGAGCAAACAGG
rnacentral:rRNA from 1 species